rnacentral:rRNA from 1 species
AGCAGCCGCGGUAAUUCCGGCUCCAAUAGCGUAUAUUAAAGUUGCUGCAGUUAAAAAAGCUCGUAGUUGAAUUUCGGGACCAUCAUGUCGGUCGUGCCUCGGUACGUACUGGCAUUGUUGCUUUCUCCCUUCUGAAGAACCUUGAUGUCAUUAAUUUGGUGUCUUGGGGAAUCAGGACUGUUACUUUGAAAAAAAUUAGAGUGUUUAAAGCAAGCAUACGCUUGAAUACAUUAGCAUGGAAUAAUGAAAUAGGACGUUUGAUUCUAUUUUUGUUGGUUUUCUAGGAUCGACGUAAUGAUUAAUAGGGAUAGUUGGGGGGCAUUAGUAUUCAAUUGUCAGAGGUGAAAUUCUUGGAUUUAUUGAAGACUAACUACUGCGAAAGCAUUUGCCAAGGAUGUUUUCAUUAAUCAAGAACGAAAGUUAGGGGAUCGAAGACGAUCAGAUACCGUCGUAGUCUUAACCAUAAACUAUGCCGACUAGGGAUCGGAUGAUGUUAAUUUUUAAUGACUCAUUCGGCG